rnacentral:lncRNA from 1 species
UGUAAGAAAUGUGAUAAAGCAAUUAUAAGUUCUAGUUCUUUAAGAACACAUGAAAAAGCACACACUAGAGAGAAACCCUAUUAUGUAAUAAAUAUGGGAAAGCCUGGAAUUUUCUCAGUUCUCUUUGAAAACUUAGAAAAACUCAUACUGGGGGAAAAGCAUAAAUGUAAAACAUGUGAUAAUAAACUUGAUUUUCCCACUUGCUUUUAAAGACAUUUUAGGAUUUAAAAUGGAGAAAAACCACAAAAUUUUAAGAAACAUGGUAAAGCCUUCGGUUUUUGUCAUUUCUCUUUGAAAACAU